AAAAUGUUCCAAUAUCGGGCA
rnacentral:miRNA from 1 species